GAUGAACGCUGGCGGCGUGCUUAACACAUGCAAGUCGAGCGAAGCACUUAAGUUCGAUUCUUCGGAUGAAGACUUUUGUGACUGAGCGGCGACGGGUGAGUAACGCGUGGGUAACCUGCCUCAUACAGGGGGAUAACAGUUAGAAAUGGCUGCUAAUACCGCAUAAGACCACAGUACUGCAUGGUACAGUGGUAAAAACUCCGGUGGUAUGAGAUGGACCCGCGUCUGAUUAGGUAGUUGGUGGGGUAACGGCCUACCAAGGCGACGAUCAGUAGCCGGCCUGAGAGGGUGAACGGCCACAUUGGGACUGAGACACGGCCCAA
rnacentral:rRNA from 1 species